AGAGUUUGAUCCUGGCUCAGAACGAACGCUGGCGGCGUGGAUAAGACAUGCAAGUCGGACGGGAUUUUCUUUGGUAGCAAUACCGAAGGAAAUUCAGUGGCGAACGGGUGCGUAACACGUGGGCAAUCUGUCUUAAAGUGGGGGAUAGCUCGGCGAAAGCCGAAUUAAUACCGCAUGUGAUCAGAGGCGACAUCGCUUCGAAAUCAAAGGUGGCGCAAGCUACCGCUUUUUGAGGAGCCCGCGGCCUAUCAGCUUGUUGGUGAGGUAACGGCUCACCAAGGCGUUGACGGGUAGCUGGUCUGAGAGGACGACCAGUCACACUGGGACUGAGACACGGCCCAGACACCUACGGGUGGCAGCAGUCGAGAAUUUUUCUCAAUGGGGGGAAACCCUGAAGGAGCGACGCCGCGUGGAGGAUGAAGGUCUUCGGGUUGUAAACUCCUGUCAUUUGGGAACAAGUCGUACGUAUUUAACUGUACGUGCGUUGAUAGUACCAGAAGAGGAAGAGACGGCUAACUCUGUGCCAGCAGCCGCGGUAAUACAGAGGUCUCAAGCGUUGUUCGGAUUCAUUGGGCGUAAAGGGUGCGUAGGCGGCGCGGUAAGUCGGGUGUGAAAUCUCGGAGCUUAACUCCGAAACUGCAUUCGAUACUGCCGUGCUUGAGGACUGGAGAGGAGACUGGAAUUUACGGUGUAGCGGUGAAAUGCGUAGAUAUCGUAAGGAAGACCAGUGGCGAAGGCGGGUCUCUGGACAGUUCCUGACGCUGAGGCACGAAGGCCAGGGGAGCAAACGGGAUUAGAUACCCCAGUAGUCC
rnacentral:rRNA from 1 species